UACGGCGCGCUCCUGUCAGCGUCUGACUGAGAACAGUGCUGCAACUAAUAACCUUGUUGGAGGUUCAUCUUCUGGGCAGAUUCCUAGAAGUCAGAUGCCUUGGUUUAAAGGUAUGAGGCAUGGAUCUUGUUUCAUUUUUCUGUGUAUGAAAAUCCAAUUUUCUCAACACCAUGUACUGAAGAGACACAUCUUUCUCCAUUAAAUGGAUUUAGCACCGUUGUCAAAAAUAUAUGUGUGGGUUUAUUUCUUGAUUCUCAAUUCUGUUCCAUUGAUCUAUAUGUCCAUUAUACCAGUA